CCCUUAGAUGUUCUGGGCCGCACGCGCGCUACACUGACGAUGGCAACGAGUUUUUCCUUCGCCGAAAGGUGUGGGUAAUCUUUUGAAACAUCGUCGUGCUGGGGAUAGAUCAUUGCAAUUUUUGAUCUUGAAUGAGGAAUUCCUAGUAAGCGCGAGUCAUCAGCUCGCGUUGAUUACGUCCCUGCCCUUUGUACACACCGCCCGUCGCUACUACCGAUUGAAUGGUUUAGUGAGGACUCCUGAUUGGCGCCGCCGCCCCGGCAACGGAGCAGCGGACUGCCGAAAAGUUGUUCAAACUUGAUCAUUUAGAGGAAGUAAAAGUCGUAACA
rnacentral:rRNA from 1 species